rnacentral:rRNA from 1 species
UAAUUUGAGAGUUUGAUCCUGGCUCAGGACGAACGCUGGCGGCGUGCCUAAUACAUGCAAGUCGAACGA